rnacentral:rRNA from 1 species
AUUGAACGCUGGCGGCAGGCUUAACACAUGCAAGUCGAGCGAGCGGCGGACGGGUGAGUACUGUCUGGGAAACUGCCUGGUGGAGGGGGAUAACUACUGGAAACGGUAGCUAAUCCCGCCUACCAUCAGAUGUGCCUAGAUGGGAUUAGCUAGUAGGUGGGGGAAUGGCUCACCUAGGCGAAGAUCCCUAGCUGGUCUGAGAGGAUGACCAGCCACACUCGAACUUAGACACGGUACAGACUCCUACGGGAGGCAGCAGUGGGGAAUAUGGCACAAUGGGCGAAAGCCUGAUGCAGCAAUGCCGCGUGUAGGAAGAAGGCCUUAGGGUUGUAAAGCACUUUCAGCGGUGAGGCGUUACCCGCAGAAGAAGCACCGGCUAACUCCGUGCCAGCCGCCGCGGUAAUAC